AACCUACCUUUAACUCUGGGAUAAGCCUGGGAAACUGGGUCUAAUACCGGAUACGACCAAUCUCCGCAUGGGGUGUUGGUGGAAAGCGUUAUGUAGUGGUUAUAGAUGGGCUCACGGCCUAUCAGCUUGUUGGUGAGGUAACGGCUCACCAAGGCGACGACGGGUAGCCGGCCUGAGAGGGUGACCGGCCACACUGGGACUGAGACACGGCCCAGACUCCUACGGGAGGCAGCAGUGGGGAAUAUUGCACAAUGGGCGCAAGCCUGAUGCAGCGACGCCGCGUGAGGGAUGACGGCCUUCGGGUUGUAAACCUCUGUUAGCAGGGAAGAAGAGAGAUUGACGGUACCUGCAGAGAAAGCGCCGGCUAACUACGUGCCAGCAGCCGCGGUAAUACGUAGGGCGCGAGCGUUGUCCGGAAUUAUUGGGCGUAAAGAGCUUGUAGGCGGUUUGUCGCGUCUGCUGUGAAAGGCCGGAGCUUAACUCCGUGUAUUGCAGUGGGUACGGGCAGACUAGAGUGCAGUAGGGGAGACUGGAAUUCCUGGUGUAGCGGUGGAAUGCGCAGAUAUCAGGAGGAACACCGAUGGCGAAGGCAGGUCUCUGGGCUGUAACUGACGCUGAGAAGCGAAAGCAUGGUGAGCGAACAGGAUUAGAUACCCUGGUAGUCCAUGCCGUAAACGUUGGGCACUACGUGUGGGGGACAUUCCACGUUUUCCGCGCCGUAGCUAACGCAUUAAGUGCCCCGCCUGGGGAGUACGGC
rnacentral:rRNA from 1 species